rnacentral:lncRNA from 1 species
CUCUCCUUAGGCUGGGAGGGGCCAAGCCGCUGGCCCGUGAGCCUGGGGCAGCUCUGGACUGUGCUUGCUGUCCUUGAGGAGAAUGCAGCCAGCCCAGGGCAAAUCAGAGCCAGGCAGCAUGUCGUAUUCUAUAUAAUGGGAGGAAAAAGAAGAAGUGGCUUUUUCUGCGGGGCUUCCCCUGAGUCUCCCCCUUGGCCCUAGAGCUGACCUUGUGUGUCCCAGCCAUGGAAGAGGCUGUGCACAGCAGCUCAGCAGGCUUGUGCUCCAGACCAGCCAGUCCUGCCCUCUGCUCUUCAUACCCAAUCCCAUCAUCAUCAGGAAGAAGACCUCCUUGAGAAGAAAACGGAACAUGGCCCUAACAGUGGGCAGCAUGAAACUGAGGAACACAGCAGGAAGCUGAUUUAGGCAAACUCAGCAGGAAGUGUUCCCUGUGAACCCAUGAGACUUCAUCCCUGCGUUGGUCUGGCUGGCUUUCCCUGUGAGAUACAGGUUCCUCCUGAAGAGCUGAAGCUCCAUUCCAGCUCUAGACUUCUCCUUGCUUUCAGACUUCAAGAUGAGAAGCAUUUUUCCAGUCCACAAGUGUUAGAGGACACUGCCGAUGAUGUGUGUUUUGCCCAGGCUGGACUCAGCUUCUUUGUCUCGUUUUGAAAGAAGAGUCAUGCUUCAAUUAAUAACAGACAACGGAGUCAAUAUGAAGGGAGCAGAGACAAUGAUGUGAUCAAAUGCCAAGAAAUGACUGACAGCAGAAAAAAUAUCAUGUGAGCCAAAGCAAUUUCACUUGACUUCUAACUUUAUUCAUCCAACGAAUAACAUUUCAUCACAGUUUUAUCAAUGGAAUGCAAUUCCACCCAGAUCAUUCUGUCAACGACAAGAAACAGCAUCAAAUCAUUCUGUCCACACAAAUAAAUCAAUUGUUGAUUAUUAUUUUCUUCUAUUUGGGAUACAAGGAGGACCAAAUAUUUCGAGUAAAACAAAGGAAAGGAAAGCAGAAAAACUUUUUGUUGUUGUUGACAAAUCCAGCUGGGUAAAUGCAAUUUAUGUCUUUUGAAAAAAUGCAUCCUGAUGUGAGGAGGGAUAAACUGUUUUUAAACUCGAACCAGGGACAAACUGUAAUAAUAAACACACUGGAAGAAAAUGCAACCAUUUAUUGGUUCUUGCAGAUAAAAUAGCAUUUCCAGUUUUUUUUUUUUUGUUUUUUUUUUUUGCUGUUGCUUAUGUAGUUCUCCUUACUGGAAUUCCUCUCCCUUUCUUUGAAUGUAUAAUCACAUUUUGAGAAAACACGAAAUCUCAGGGUCUUACAAAAUCCAACAGGGGAACGUGUCAUCUUUAAAUGACAAGCUGUGUGGGGAGUACUCUGGUUAUGAAUUAGGCUGUUUUUCCUAGUACUGCAAUUUCUUCUUGCUGCCAUUUCGAUGGUGUUGAAAGCCCUUUCUCCAGACUUGUAAGUUGGUGGUCCACUACUGAAUGGAAAGAAAUCUGGUUUUCCAUAUGUUCUCACUCAUAGGUGGGAAUUGAACAAUGAGAACACUUGGA